rnacentral:rRNA from 1 species
UGGUGGAGUGAUUUGUCUGCUUAAUUGCGUCAACGAACGAGACCUUAAUCUGCUAAAUAGUAUAGAUUCAGUUUUCUGUUUCGUACUUCUUAGAGGGACUACGUGUUUUCAGCACGAGGAGGAUUGAGGCAAUAACA